rnacentral:rRNA from 1 species
UACGUAUAAGACUAGUGUUAUUCAUCUUUAAUAGGUUUAAAGGGUACCUAGACGGUAUAAUUAGUCUUAAACAGGAUACGAUUAUACUAGAGUUAUAUAUGAGGAGGGGAGUAUUUAUGGAGUAGGGUUGAAAUUCUUUGAUACCAUACGACUGGUAACGGCGAAAGCAACCUUUUAUCUAAUAACUGACGUUGAGGGACGAAGGCUCGGGUAACGAACAGG